UGAAUGGUGGAACGAGGGCUUAACUGUCUCCCCUUUCAAGUCAAUGAAAUUGAUCUGCCCGUGCAGAAGCGGACAUAUAAAUACAAGACGAGAAGACCCUUUGGAGCUUAAGAUACAAGAUCAACUAUGUCAAUGAACCAUAAAACUAAAUAGCACCUGAUCCCAAUCUUCAGUUGGGGCGACCACGGGAGAAAAUAAAGCUCCCACGCGGACCAGGGUAACCACCCCAAAACCAAGAGAAACACCUCUAAGUCGCAGAAUUUCUGACCAAAAAGAUCCGGCCCCCCGCCGACCAACGAACCAAGUUACCCUAGGGAUAACAGCGCAAUCCCCUUUCAGAGUCCAUAUCGACAAGGGGGUUUACGACCUCGAUGUUGGAUCAGGACAUCCUAAUGGUGCAG
rnacentral:rRNA from 1 species